AGCAAAUGAAAUAAGUUGAUAUCGAGACCCUAGAAAUUACCAAAAAUAGUUCAGUAAGGUGGAGAUUGUUAAGUAUUUGGGCUGCCUCAUAUUCAUGGUCCAUAAUAUAUGGGCCUAUGUUGCUGAGUGUGGAUAAUUGUUCAACCCGGGUGAAGAAAACGUGAUCCUUUUAAACGCGCCUCUUCAAUUAAUUGAUUCUUGAUCAGGCUGUACACUUGGCCAUCUUCCAACCGUUGAUCUGUGGCUCUUUGACUGAUUGCUUAAAGUAGUGUUUGGCCAUUCAUUUUAGAGACGGUUGAACUUUGUGUUUUAGGGUUUUCUCUCCACUUCCUCUCUAAGCACACUGUAUAUUCUUUGUGAGUUUCUUGAUUUGAAAAUCUGAGUGAUUUUGAGAUUCUACACUUGAUGUAUACUGUGAGAAAGGUUCUUAGUGAUUUGGUGUGGUUUUGUACUGUGUGUUGAGGCUAGAGGAAACAUCGAAGAAAUCUCUGAUUUCUUCGUACAUAUUGUAACUUUUCUUGGUGAUUUCUUAGUGGAUCUAGAGUUUUAUCCACUUGUGAAUGCUCAACGGGUGAGUAGGUCGUAAGACUGAACAUCCGGACCUUUUGUGGUGAAAAAUUCC
rnacentral:lncRNA from 1 species